rnacentral:rRNA from 1 species
UACGUAGGGUGCAAGCGUUAAUCGGAAUUACUGGGCGUAAAGCGUGCGCAGGCGGUUGUGUAAGUCUGUCGUGAAAUCCCCGGGCUCAACCUGGGAAUUGCGAUGGAGACUGCACGGCUAGAGUGUGUCAGAGGGGGGUAGAAUUCCACGUGUAGCAGUGAAAUGCGUAGAUAUGUGGAGGAACACCGAUGGUGAAGGCAGCCCCCUGGGAUAACACUGACGCUCAUGCACGAAAGCGUGGGGAGCGAACAGG